GACAGAGGGUGCAAACGUUGCUCGGAAUCACUGGGCGUAAAGGGCGUGUAGGCGGGACAGUAAGUCGGGCGUGAAAUCCCUGGGCUCAACCCAGGAACUGCACUCGAAACUACUAUUCUUGAGUGUCGGAGAGGAAAGCGGAAUUCCUGGUGUAGAGGUGAAAUUCGUAGAUAUCAGGAGGAACACCAGUGGCGAAGGCGGCUUGCCAGAACGCGCUCGACGGUGAGGGAUGAAAGCUGGGGGGAGCAAACCGG
rnacentral:rRNA from 1 species